GACGAACGCUGGCGGCGUGCUUAACACAUGCAAGUCGAACGGAAAGGCCCUGCUUUUGUGGGGUGCUCGAGUGGCGAACGGGUGAAUAACACGUGAGUAACCUGCCCUUGACUUUGGGAUAACUUCAGGAAACUGGGGCUAAUACCGGAUAGGAGCUCCUGCUGCAUGGUGGGGGUUGGAAAGUUUCGGCGGUUGGGGAUGGACUCGCGGCUUAUCAGCUUGUUGGGGGGGUAGUGGCUUACCAAGGCUUUGACGGGUAGCCGGCCUGAGAGGGUGACCGGCAACAUUGGGACUGAGAUACGGCCCGGAAUCCUACGGGGGGAAGCAGUGGGGAAUAUUGAAAAAUGGGCGGAAGCCUGAUGCAGCACCGCCGCGUGCGGGAUGACGGCCUUCGGGUUGUAAACCGCUUUCGCCUGUGACGAAGCGUGAGUGACGGUAAUGGGUAAAGAAGCACCGGCUAACUACGUG
rnacentral:rRNA from 1 species